UGGUGGAGUGAUUUGUCUGGUUAAUUCCGUUAACGAACGAGACCUCGACCUGCUAAAUAGUUCGGCGAAAGCUUCGGCUUUCGUUCGUGACUUCUUAGAGGGACUAUCGGUGUGUAGCCGACGGAAGUUCGAGGCAAUAACA
rnacentral:rRNA from 1 species